rnacentral:tRNA from 1 species
GGACAGUUAGCUCAGUUGGUAGAGCAUCUCGUUUACACCGAGAGGGCCACAGGUUCGAGUCCUGUACUGUCCA